GAUCCUGGCUCGGGAUGAACGCUGGCGGCGUGCCUAACACAUGCAAGUCGAACGAUGAAACCGCCCUCGGGCGGACAUGAAGUGGCGAACGGGUGAGUAACACGUGACCGACCUGCCCCCCGCCCAGGGACAGCCCCCCGAAAGGGGGAUUAAUACCUGGUACUCCGGAAGCGGCGCAUGCCGCGUCCGGGAAAGCUCAGGCGGCGGGGGAUGGGGUCGCGGCCCAUCAGGUAGACGGCGGGGCAGAGGCCCACCGUGCCGACGACGGGUAG
rnacentral:rRNA from 1 species